rnacentral:lncRNA from 1 species
GAAGAUGAUCCAAAUAUGUAUAUGGUGACCAUGAGCAUGCAAGCAAAACACAACCAGAUAUUUGCAAGUCAAGAUUAAGUUCUUAUAGGGUAAGGAAUGAGAUCAUAUCACAACAUGUUUCAACCAAGUUCAAGAAUGCUCUUCAUGAAUUCCAAGUUUGUUUCAGACUUACUUCAAGUUCAAUCAUCAUGCAUCAAAAAGCUAACAAACAGGGCAUUGAUCUCAACUAGUGAAUCAUAGCAAAUCAACAAGGUGUAACUCAUCAUCGCCCUCUAUGCUAAUGCAACAGUCCUACAUGAAACAAUCUAAACUCAAUCCUAAUAUGCAAAUACAAGCUACAUGAUCACUCUGUUUAAAGGUUUUCAACAUCAAUUGUCAUCCCAAACCCUCCCCCAAACUAAAAAUUCAAAAUAAGAAAAGAGAACACAACAUCAAAUGUCAUCCCAAACCCUCCCCCAAACUUAAAUUACACAGUCUCUUGUGUAAUAAAAAUUUGAGAGUUGGUGUGAGAAUCAAACAAACAAAAGUAUGAAAAUGCAAUGGUAUAUACAGAUGAAGGUUUGGAGUGGUACCUUACUGAAAAUAGCAAUACAGGUAUUGAGUCAUGGACUCGCUUGUAUAAGCACCUGGUGCAGGCGGGACAGGAGGAGCCGGUUGCUCAACGUUCUGCUCGACAGGAUCUGCAGUGAGGUCUUGAAAAUGAUACGCACCUGGGUCAACAGUCAGGUCCUCAAUGUGAUCCUCAGCUUGAUCCAUGGUCAGAUCCUCAACAUGAUGCUCCUCUGACAAGUGUGAUGAACUGGCUUUUGCCUUCCGUCUCGCUGCCUUCUUCUUUUUCCGUUUCUCCUUCUUUUUGCUAGCCCUAAGCUCAGGGGAGAACUGUCUCAGAGGAGAAGAAGAAACAUUAUGCUCUCUAUACUCAUAAGCGGAAUGACGUGAUGGAGAAGGAGUUUUGUAGCGUGCUGGGACAUCACUCGUGGACAAACGACGCUGCACUGGUCUAGCAUCCUGCGGAGUAGUGUCUGCAAAAGCUGUGGUGGUGGAGGCGCAGCUAAACUUACUCAUGAAGCUCUUCAUCUUCGACUUCAUAGAUUUUAUUGCCUUGUCUUGCAGCAUGUUCCACUUCUGAAGCGUACUGAUACGCUUGUGAGCUUCCACCAAACUCUUGCCUUGUCUAGGCGCUGUAUAGUCCUUGAAGUGGUACCUCUCUGGUCUGUACUCAUCUGAAUCUUCUUCCAUCUCAUCAUCCUCUUUCUCAGAUCCUCACCAUCUAUCGUGUAGAGAGCCUCUGCAGGGGGAGUAAACUCAAUAUUGCUUCCUUCGAGUAUCCUAGUGAAAGCAAUACAAGGAAGCAAGAAUCGCACGUCACCAUGCACACGGUGAGUGAAGUAGUACAUAUAUAACCCGUUGCGUUUCUCCCAAUGCAACCAUUGAGCUUGCCUCAAAUUCUGAAUGUCGAUGAAUCUCGGGGCAAUAGGCUCUGAACUUAGCGGGACGCUACAAGCUUCUAAGAUGACUGUCACCAACCCUCCCAUACACAUAACUCCAUGAGUUCUGCAGCUGCUCAGCUUCACUACCCAAGUUCUGUAACUGAGUAGCUGGUGCAACAGAGUGAACGAGGGGGAUGUAUCAGUCGUAUCACCUCGCAGUAGUGUCCCAUCUACUGCUGUUAACAGGAGAUCUUUGAGUGCAAGAUCAAUCAUCUCCAGCUCCCCGUUGAUCAGUGUCCCUGUUGUCUCCAACACUGCCCCUACUGCAUAAUCUGAGGCAUCCCACAUUAUCUCAAAAGGAUGAUCCCAGUCUGGAGCUUGGACUAUUGGUGCUGAGACUAACGCUUCCUUGAUCUUGUUGAAAGCUUCCAGACAGCUCUUAUCAACAACAAACUCGACCUCCUUGCACAACAGUCUUGUAAGGGGUCGUGCAAUCUUUGAGGUCCUUGAUGAAUCUUCUGUAAAACCCAGCAUGCCCAAGGAAACUCCUUAUAUCCUUGACUGACUUUGGAGGUUGCAACUGUACCAUGACCUCAAUCUUUGCCUUAUCAACCUCAAUCCCUUUCUCUGAUACCUUGUGUCCCAACACUAUCCCUUCGUUCACCAUGAAGUGGCACUUCUUCCAGUUGAGCACUAGGCUUGUCUCCUCACAUCUUGCUAAUACCCUGCAGAGAUUCAACAAACAUGAGGAGAAGGAGGAGCCGUACACGGAAAAAUCAUCCAUGAAUACCUCCACCAUCUCCUCUAUUAAAUACGAGAAUAUAGAGGUCAUACACCUCUGAAAUGUUGCAGGUGCAUUACACAAACCAAAAGGCAUGCGUCUGUAGGCAAAUGUGCCAUAGGGACAAGUGAAAGUAGUCUUUUCCUGAUCAUUUGGGUGGAUAGGAAUUUGGAAAAAUCCGCUAUACCCAUCAAGGAAACAGUAGUAGGGAUGAUUGGCUAAUCGUUCUAACAUUUGAUCAAUGAAAGGAAAAGAAAAAUGAUAUUUCCUAGAUGCAACAUUCAGUUUUCUGUAAUCAAUGCACAUCCUAUGGCCAGUAAUAGUCCUAGUGGGGAUCAAUUCAUCUUUUUCAUUUUUUAUCAUUGUAAUUCCCCCUUUCUUGGGUAUGCAAUGUACUGGGGAUACCCAAGUACUAUCAGUAAUAGGAUAGAUAACCCCAGCAUUCAACAGUUUAAGAAUUUCUUUUUUUCACAACUUUCUUAAGGUUUGGAUUCAAUCUCCUUUAAGGUUCAAUACUAGAGUAUGAUUCAUUUUCCAGAUUGAUCCUAUGCAUGCAGAGAAUAGGUGAGAUCCCCUUGAUAUCAUCUAAGGAAUAACCUAUAUCCCUUCUAUAUUUUCUAAGCUCAGUGACUAGCAAUUCUAAUUCCUCAUUACUCAAGCUAGCAUUCACAAUGACAGGAUAAGUAGAGUUGGAUCCAAGGAAUACAUACCUCAGUCCUGAGGGUAGCGGUUUGAGCUCAACCUUGGGAGCUUUUAACUCUGACCAGUCAUCAUUAGCCGCAUUGACAGGGUCAACAGCAGGGUAAGUGAUCGGGCUUCCACUGACUUCUUCCUCUACAGAGCAUACCUCCUUGACAUACUCGUCCAAUUCUUCAAAACGUUCAGAAUCAUCAAUUGCCUUGUAGGUAUCCAGUAACGUUUCGUAGACCUUUGUCUCAGCAUGAAGAAAUCCAUCUGAUCCAUUCUUUGUCAAAGCUGUCUUGAGAUGAUCCUCCUCAGCAAGUUCUUCUAAAAGCUCAUCAGCUAGCUGAUCCAUCUCCUCUAUCUAGAACACCUUGCCAUUGAUUGUUGGUUUCUUCAUAGACUCCUUGAUGUCAAAUGUCAUCUUGAAAUCUUUUCUCAAGCAUAAGUCUAUCUUCCCCUUUUUAACAUCAAUGAUAGCUCCAGCAGUGGCUAGGAAUGGUCUUCCAAGAAUUAGAGGAUCUUUAGGCUCUGUGGGAACUUCAACAAUACCAAUUCUUAUUGGCAGGUCUUCCAAGAGUACAUGUGGGAGCCUCACUGAUCUGUCAGCUAGAAUGAGAGAUAUGUUGCAUGCCUUGUAUCUUGUGAAUCCUAAACGCUUAGCCACAGACAAUGGCAUAAGACUCACAGAAGCUCCAAGAUCACAUAAGCAUCUGCUGAAAGAUAGGGGGCCUAGUGAGCAGGGUACAGUGAAGGAUCCAGGAUCCUUAAGCUUCAAGGGAGUGAUCUUCUUCUGGAUAAUGGCACUGCAUUCAUGACUCAAUAUCACCAUGCCCUGGACUUCUUUUGUUCUCUGCAUAACCAAAUCUUUGAGGAAGUUCUGAUAAGGAGGGACAAGUGCGAAUGCAUCCAGCAAUGGCAUUCUCAACUCAAUCUCUCUCACUUGCUUUUUAAAUAAAGCCUUAUACUUCUCAGCUUGCUGUUUUUUGAAUCGUCCUGGAAAUGGUAGAGGUGGUUUGUAUGGUGGGGGAACGUAUCUCGCAGGCUUAUCCUUGGAUGCUGCAGGUGUUUCAGCAUGUUUCUCAGCAGGUUGGGGAGCUUCUUCAGGUAUGACUUCUGAUUCUUCCAAAGGAACACCCGGAUCUUCAUUAUGACAUACAUCAUCCCCUUGCAAGUAUUCACUGUCCUCAGUGACUACAACAGGUCCUUGUCUGGGAGGCAAGUUUUUACCGCUCCUCAGCGUGAUGGCAUGAGCAAACUCAUUAGGAUUCUGAACAGCUUUUCCUAGAAGUUGGCCCGGCUUUGGGGCAGAAGUAGAAGCAGUUUUGCCCUCAAUAUACUUGAUCUUGGAAUUCAGAGUCUCAAUCUUCAUGUUCAGAUCAUUGUAUGAGCAGUCCAAUCUCUGAGUCAGCUCAGCAAACUUCUUAGCAUUGUCCAUGGAGCCACUUGCUUGUCCCUGUAGGAGUUGCUGAAACAUGUUUUUCAUGUCCUGAUCUGGUGUCUGAGGAGGAGGAGCGUGUUGAGGUUGGAAUCCUGGUGGUGGUCCUGCUGGAGGUUUGUAACCUUGCUGAAAUUGUUGUUUGGGCACAUAACCUUGGUUGUAGGGCACAAAUGGUUUGUUCUGCCCCUGCUGCUGCUGUUGUAGAGGUGGAUAAACCUCAUCCUGGGGGUUUGCAACAUUGGUGCUCCGAUAGGACAGAUUUGGAUUCUGCUUAUAAGGAUUGUAUCCCUUAUUGUAUCCACCUUGGUUCUGGACAUAGCUUAUCUUCUCGGAUUUUCUCCCUCCCCAUUCAUAAUCUGGAAAGAAUCGUCUUCAGAGACGUAAUGGAUGUUCCUCUGCUGGCUCAUCAAUAGCUUAUCCAACUUGUCAUUCACAGCCUUCAUCUCCUUCUUGUUCUUCUCAUCAAGAUCUGUGCUUUCCCUGAUGGUUCUAUCAUAAUCUUCAUUGUAGUUGCCAUCAGAUUGGGAUAGGUUCUCAACAAGCUCCCAACCUUCGUCGACGUCCUUGUUCAGAAAGUUGCCAUUGCUAGCAGUGUCAAGCAACAUCCGGAUCUUUGGGAGAACACCCCGGUAAAGAGUACUGAGGAGAGACUCUUUGGUGAAGCCAUGGUGGGGGCACUGAGACUGAUAACUUUUGAAGCGUUCCCAGGCUUCACAAAGCGUUUCUCCAUUCUUCUAAGUGAACCCAGAGAUCUCAUUGCGCAGACGUGCAGUUCUAGAGUUAGAGAAAAACUUGGCAAGAAACGACUGCUUGCAUUGAUCCCAGGAAGUGAUAGAUCCUGGAGGAAGAGUUUUCUCCCAUUGAUGAGCUUUGUCACCCAAAGAGAAUGGAAAGAGACGUAGCUUGAAACCGUCCUCACUGACCCCAUUGAUCUUGGUGACACUAUAUAGACGAUCAAACUCAUCAAGGUGAUCCAGGGAGUCUUCCAUAGGCAGACCAUGAAAUUUAUUCUGCUGGAUCAUGGAGAUCAGACCACUCUUGAUCUCAAAGUUGUUGUUCGCCACGGCUGGAGGCACUAUACCCUGAUGAUGGGUAUGGUUGCGUGAAGCAUCACCAGCUCCAAUCCGUGUAGGUGCCCGUGGUGGGGGUGGGGGUGGUGGUUGAAUGUUUUCCAUCUCCACUUGGGGUGGUGUAACUCUGUUGCGUUGCUGUCGUGAUGCAGGUACCAAGCGAUCAAUACGGUCGGAGGGCUGGAACAAGUUCUCUGUGCCUUGCGACCGUGUGUGCAUACAACUCAAAUCAGCUUAUCUCUCUUAUCGGUUGAGUGUGUCAGUCGAGGAGGAGCAGUUGAGCAAGAGUUGUACCUGAAUCAGUAGACAAACAGAACGAACAGAGUGAGUAACUGUAGUGAAUGUUGAGUAAAAACUUGAUCUUAACAAGUCUGAAAUCUCAAAUGUAACACACAAACACCCAAAUGGCAGCGGCGCCAAAUUGAUACUAGGAUUUUUCUAUCAAUUACCCUAGAGUACUAUCAUGUCAUUGCAGUACAAUAGGUAUCAAUCCAAUCAGGUGUGAUGCUAGCAAUCAAGAUAUAUCAGAAAUGAUUAAGUUAAGCAAGUAUAAAUGAUCUUUUGGUUUUCAGUGAUCCUAAGCAAACAUAUUAAACAUGCGAUAAAUGUAAGGUUGUAAAACAUAGACUACCAUGCAUAAACUAAAACGUAACGAUUAAUUAUACUGGCAAGAAAACAAAGCAGACCAAGUAAAUAACAAGAGAAUUAAACAGAAAGCACAAAUGGAUAGAAGAUCCCGAGGAUGAGGUUAUUAAUGUAGGUGGAGUAUGCUAAUCCACUUCGAGUGUUUAUCAAACUGCAAACAUUCUAAUCCCUAUACAAUGAACUUCUAAUACUAGUCAAUCCAAUCUCUCGGCAGAAACUAUCAAGUUUACAACACUUGCUACUCUCAAUUCUCAUUGAUGAAACAUGCAGCAAACAUGCAUAAAGAAACAGCUCAUUAAUGUCAAUAAACAUCUUAGAUAACCAAUCUCUUGGGCUAAGCAUGUAAAUCUCUGGCACUAGUUGGUUUAGACAUUUCAUCAUAUACCUUUCGGGUAUGAAAUGUCUAUGACCCAGUUCCAAUUGAUCAGAGAAGAACUAGCUAAUAAAACUCUAGUCCAGAAGGGAAACAAAACGAAUCUAACAUAAACACUCUAGCAAACUAACAUCCUCUACCUAAUCUAUCCCAUCCUCAAGAACCCUAACACUACUCGGACGCAGAAAUCAUGUUAAACAUCAUGAAACAAGAAUCGUUCAAAACAUGCAUAAUAAUAAAGAUGACAGGAAGAGUAACAACAAUGAUUCAAGAACUAACUGCAAAGUAUCAAUAACUCAAAAGAAAUCUCGAUUACAAUUCUCAGGAUCGUUUGGUGGCUAACAACAAAAACCUAAUAAAAACUCGAUCCCUUGGGCAAUCCAAAUGAGACCUAUUUAUAACAAUGUUUGGGAAAACCUUAAAACAUAAAACGACAACGUAAAAGCGGUUUAAAAGUUGUAAUGGUCACGUCGGUCGAGUGAGCGUGUCGAGUAACACUUAAUUUCUUCUCUGCAUCAUUUCAUACUCGGCCGUGUUCCUCGAGUGAUCGUGUUGAGUGACAUGUGAAACCAUCAGCUACUUCUUUGCUUUGAUCGAUCAUGUCACUCGAGUGAGUGCAUCGAGUGACAGGUGGUUCUGCUUCGCUUCCCUUCUGCUCGAUCAGUUACUCGAUCGUAUACAUCUGCUGCUCACUCGAUCGUCGAUGUAACUGCAACGCAUCCUUGCUUCUCACUCGAUCGUCCCACUCGAUCGUGUGCAUGUCGAGUGACGCUUGUUCCUCUGCUUCGCUCUGCAUGUCUCCUAAGUACCUGAAACACUCCAAAUAUGCACAAUGUAUGCAAGAUAUGCAUGAUAUGCAUAAAGCCUACCUAAGUAUGUAAAACAUGUAGAAAGGGAUCAAUAUGAUGCGAAUCAACAAGUGAAUGAUGCUGAAAAGAUGAUGAAUGCAUGCUCAAAAAGCGAUGAAAUACAGACUUAUCAACUCCUCCAAACUUAGUCUUUGCUUGCCCUCAAGCAAAGCAAAAAUAAACAAAGUGGAAGAGAGGUUUGAAAUUGGGGUCUCAGAACCUGUAACUUGCAAGAUAGAGUAGUUAAAAUCAAUGUCCUGGUUGCUAAGUCUUUGAUGCAUGCUGAGAGAAAUUUACUUAACGACUUUAGACAAACUCAUCAAAUCCGAAACUGAUUCUAUCCCUUGAUCUACACAUGCAUUCAAAUCAUUCAUUCCUUUUAACACUCAUUAUUCAAGUAUAUGAAUCUGGUUGUGCAAGGCUUAACAAACUAACUUGGCUAGGCAGAAAAAGGUUUUGUGAAUCAUGAGGGUUUAAACAAUUUCAGGACAAGGAUCUCUCAAUGAAUGGAUUGAGCUUUAGGGAGAAUGCUAAAGGUAAGGACCAACCAAUGCAUACAGGAAUAAAACCUUGACUACCCAAUGGUUCCCAAAUGCUUACUCCUAAUCAUCUAAACCCGGAUGAUACCUAUGUUUACCCUUCAACAUCAAUCCCAUUUUUUUUUCUUUUUGCCUUAGAAGAAGUUUCUUAUCAAUACUAGUGGAUAGGGGAUUUCUUCUUAACUAUGGUUCUGUUUUCUUCUUACGUUAUAAGACAUCAAAACUUUUUCUCUUUCUUAACAUCCCAGAACCAUUCUCUGUAUAUCAUGCUAACCCCACAAAAAUCAAUCACUAGAGUAUAAACUUCCAGAAAACAUUCUCCUCCUAAGUACACAACUUUUUCUGUUUCUCUUCUUUCUUUCCACAAUCAUUCCAAUCCCAAACCCAAGUAAGAAUCCCGACCUAGUCCUAUCUGAUUUGAAAGUGAAAAUCAGAAUUACUCAAGAUUUUAAUCCUGUCGGCUCAUACCUAACACGUUCUCCCCAAGCAUAAUCCGGUAAAAGACAUACCACUCAAAAAUUAUCAAUUGGCUUGAAAGAAAAGGAUAGGCUGUGGGUGUGGCAAAAUGAUCAAAAGAAAGAUCAGAUACUUGGAUCAACAAGAGUGGUGAAAGGAGGAAGAUGAUCCAAAUAUGUAUAUGGUGACCAUGAGCAUGCAAGCAAAACACAACCAGAUAUUUGCAAGUCAAGAUUAAGUUCUUAUAGGGUAAGCAAUGAGAUCAUAUCACAACAUGUUUCAACCAAGUUCAAAAAUGCUCUUCAUGAAUUCCAAGUUUGUUUCAGACUUACUUCAAGUUCAAUCAUCAUGCAUCAAAAAGCUAACAAUCAGGGCAUUGAUCUCAACUAGUGAAUCAUAGCAAAUCAACAAUGUGUAACUCAUCAUCGCCCCCUAUGCUAAUGCAACAGUCCUACAUGAAACAAUCUAGACUCAAUCCUAAUAUGCAAAUGCAAGCUAAAUGAUCACUAUGUUUUUAAAGAUUUUUUCUGAAAAUUUUUCAAAUUUUUAGGGGUUUUCAAUGCACAUAUAUGAAUGCAAAUUAUAUGCUAAAAAUUCAAAAUAAGAAAAGAGAACACAACAUCAAAUGUCAUCCCAAACCCUCCCCCAAACUUAAAUUACACAGUCUCUUGUGUAAUAAAAAUUUGAGAGUUGGUUUGAGAAUCAAACAAACAAAAGUAUGAAAAUGCAAUGGUAUAUACAGAUGAAGGUUUAGAGUGGUACCUUACUGAAAAUACCAAUCCAGGUAUUGAGUCAUGGACUCGCUUGUAUAAGCACCUGGUGCAGGCUGCGCAUGAGGAGCCUCUAUAGGAUGCUCAACGUUCUGCUCGACAGGAUUCGCAGUGAGGUCUUGGAAAUGAUACGCACAUGGAUCAAUAGUCAGGUCUUCAAUGUGAUCCUCAGCUUGAUCCAUGGUCAGAUCCUCAACGUGAUGCUCCUCUAACAAGUGUGAUGAACUAGAUUUUGCCUUCCGUCUCGCUGCCUUCUUCUUUUUCCUUUUCUCCUGCUUCUUGCUAGCCCUAAGCUCAGGGGAGGACUGUCUCAGAGGAGAAGAAGAAACAUUAUGCUCUCUAUACUCAUAAGCGGAAUGACGUGAUGGAGAAGGAGUUCUGUAACGUGCUGGGACAUCACUCGUGGACAAACGACGCUGCACUGGUCUAUCAUCCUGCGGAGUAGUGUAUGCAAAAGCUGUGGUGGUGGAGGCGCAACUAAACAUACUCAUGAAGCUCUUCAUUUUCGACUUUAUAGAUUUUAAUGCCUUGUCUUGCAGCAUGUUACACUUCUGAAGUGUACUGAUACGCUUGUGAGCUUCCACCAAACUCUUGCCUUGUCUAGGCGCUGUGUAGUCCUUGAAGUGGUACCUCUCUGGUCUAUACUCAUCUGAAUCUUCUUCCAUCUCAUCAUCCUCUUUCUCAGAUACCUCCAUCGCUUCCUCACCAUCUGUCGUGUAGAGAGCCUCUGCAGGGGGAUUAAACUCAAUGUUGAUUCCUUCGAGUAUCCUAGUGAAAGCAAUACAAGGAAGCAAAAAUCGCACGUCACCAUGUACGGGGUGAGUGAAGUAGUACAUAUAUAACCCGUUUCGUUUCUCCCGAUGCAACCAUUGAGCUUGCCUCCAAUUCUGAAUGUCGAUGAAUCUCGGUGCAAUAGGCUCUGAACUCAUCGGGACGCUACAAGCUUUUAAGAUGACUGUCACCAACCCUCCCAUACACAUAACUCCUUGAGUUCUGCAGCUGCUCAGCUUCACUACCCAAGUUCUGUAACUUAGUAGCUGGUGCAACAGAGUGAACGAGGGGGAUGUAUCAGUCGUAUCACCUCGCAGUAGUGUCCCAUCUACUACUGUUAACAGGAGAUCUUUGAGUGCAAGAUCAAUCAACUCCAGCUCCCCGUUGAUCUGUGUCCCUGUUGUCUCCCUCGCGAAGAACACAUUUGCAAUUGACCGAUGGACGUAGCGGAUAACUGGACUUCUGAUGUGGUUGCUCUUGGUGCUAGAUGAAGCAAACUUCUUCUCAUUCCCAAUCGUUUCCCAAAGAGCCAACAAUUCAUCUCUAUCAAUCCUUUGCCCAGUCCCUGUUCCAUUAGGGAACCCAAACAAACCUUCCAACUCUCUGAUGGUCAGGACAUACUCGUGAUCAUGGAUAGUGAAAGUGAUGUAUCCCAAUCCUCCAUCUGACUCUAUGUCCGGAUCAUCCUUAUAGAGAUGUAUGGCCAGCGUACAGAGGAACAGAAUUGUCUCCUCUCGGUAUGCAUUUCGCGGACUAGUCAUGAGGGUGCUGAGAUGACAAUGCUCGAAAAUAUACUCGACAUCACUCGAGAUAGCCAGCUCAUCCGACGGAGAAGAUACUCGACCACCGAUAUCUUUACUCGACAGGCUAAACAAGCUCCAGCUCACGCGCGUGCUGCUACUUGACCACCGGAUGCCUACACGGUUCUCACUCGAGUAACCUCAUCUUCUCACUCGACCUCAUUCACUACUCUCACUCGAUCGGGACUCCAUCCACUCGACCGUGUACCAACUCACUCGAGCUGCUCUCCCAACCAACAAGAACUCGACCCACUUUGUCUUCACCGGAGCUACUCGACCAUUGUCACCUCUCGCGGCUCUUACUCGACUCACUCCCCACUGAAAAGUCUCGCUUGGACUCUAUUCAAGCGAUUCCCACUCUCACCCGCACUUCCACUCGGUUGAAGCUCCCAACAUUUUCAUCUCCUCCGCGCCUCACUCGACCGUCGGCUCUUCACCACCACUCGCUGUGCACUCACUCGAUCUACACUCAUAACAUGUUCACUCAACCGUGCACUCAUUUGCUCACUCGACCGAAAGUGAUAAGCGUUUGUAUCUCCACUCAUUUCUUUUGCAUUUGCUCAUUGUUUCAGUUUCACAAUGUCAAGAGAUUUGUUGCAUGAAAUGCGUGAGAAGUAUGAUUGUAAACCAACAGAGCGUGCAUCUCCUCAGUCUAUGUCCAAGGUCUAUAUGGAGAAGAAAAAAGCUGCAUAUGAGAGAGCGUCUGGUGUUGGUCCUUCUCAGGCAAGAAGCAGAGCUAAGUCUUCGGGUAAGAAACCAAUGGAGCUGCGGGAUGAUGAUAGUGAUUAUGAGCUUGAAGAGCAUCCACCUGUCCCAGCUCGCAAGUCAGUGCAGAAGAAGAAGAUAGAGAAGUGGUUAGCCCCGGGAGAGUAUUACAAGCUGUUUCAGCAGCAUGAGUUUCAGGGCACGAGGUACCCUUGCCAGUAGACGAUGGAUGAGCUGGCUAUCUCGAGUGAUGUUGAGUAUAUGUUUGAGCAUUGUCAUCCCCGGCAGCGGCGCCAAAUUGAUAAUAGGAUUUUUCUAUCAACUACCCUAGAGUACUAUCAUGUCUUUGCAGUACAAUAGAUAUCAAUCCAAUCAGGUGUGAUGCUAGCAAUCAAGAUAUAUCAGAAAUGAUUAAGUCAAGCAAGCAUAAAUGAUUUUUGGUUUUCAGUGAUCCUAAGCGAACAUGUUAAACAUGCGAUAAAUGUAAAGCUGCAAAACAUAGACUACCAUGCAUAAACUAAAACGUUACAAUUAUUGAUACUGGCAAGAAAACAAAGCAGACCAAGUAAAUAACAAGAGAAUUAAACAGAAAGCACAAAUGGAUAAAAGAUCCCGAGGAUGAGGUUAUUGAUGUAGGUGGAGUAUGCUAAUCUAAUUCGAGUGUUUAUCAAACUGCAAACAUUCUAAUCCCUAGACAAUGAACUUCUAAUACUAGUCAAUCCAAUCUCUUGGCAGAAACUAUCAAGUUUACAACACUUCCUAAUCUCAAUUCUCAUUGAUGAAACAUGCAGUAAACAGGCAUAAAGAAACAGCUCAUUAAUGUCAAUAAACAUUUUAGACAACCAAUCUCUUGGGCUAAGCAUGUAAAUCUCUGGCACUAGUUGGUUCAGACAUUUCAUCAUAUACCUUUCGGGUAUGAAAUGUCUAUGACCUAGUUCCAAUUGAUUAGAGAAGAACUAGCUAAUAAAACUCUAGUCCAGAAGGGAAACAAAACGAAUCUAACAUAAACACUCUAGCAAACUAACAUCCUCCACCUAAUCUAUCCCAUCCUCAAGAACCCUAACACUACUCAGACGCAGAAAUCAUGUUAAACAUCAUGAAACAAGAAUCGUUCAAAUCAUGCAUAAUAAUAAAGAUGACAGGAAGAGUAACAACAAUGAUUCAAGAACUAACUGCAAAAAAAUCAAUAACUCCAAAGAAUUCACGAUUACAAUUCUCAGGAUCGUUUGGUGGCUAACAACAAAAACCUAAUAAAAAUCAACUCGAUCCCUUGGGCAAUCCAAAUGAAGCCUAUUUAUAACAAUGUUUGGGAAAACCUUAAAACAUAAAACGACAACGUAAAAGCGGUUCAAAGGUUGUUUUGACUAAGUUGGUCGAGUGAGCAUCUCGAGUGACCAUCUUCUCUGCUUUGCUCGAUCGCGUCACUCGAGUGAUCGUGUCGAGUGACCUGUGAAACCAUCAGCUACUUCUUUGCUUUGCUCGAUAAUGUCACUCGAGUGAGUGCAUCGAGUGACAGGUAGUUCUGCUUCGCUUCCCUUAUGCUCGAUCUGCCACUCGAUCGUAUACGUCUGCUGCUCACCCGAUCGUCCCACUCGAUCGUUUGCAUGUCGAGUAACGCUUGUUCCUCUGCUUCGCUCUGCAUGUCUCCUAAGUACCUGAAACACUCCAAAUAUGCACAAUGUAUGCAAGAUAUGCAUGAUAUGCAUAAAACCUACCUAAGUAUGUAAAACAUGCAGAAAGGGAUCAAUAUGAUGCGAAUCAACAAGUGAAUGAUGCUGAAAAGAUGAUGAAUGCAUGCUCAAAAAGCGAUGAAAUACAGACUUAUCAAUAGGGAAUCACAUGAUCUCUCCAUGAAAUUCCUAAAAUCCGAUGAAUCCUUAAUCUUGCUGCCUAAAGGAGGAAUACAUUUUAGCACUUCCAAUUAGAGAACAAGUGGGAACCCGUGGCAACAAGAUGUUUGUUGGGAUAGCCUUCUCUUGAGGUGGUUGCGUGAAUGUGACAUGAAUACGCGUUUCGUUCAUAGGAGUGUUUAAAGACGCCGAGUUCUGAAUAGAACCUUCUCUUUACUUGAUGAGUUUGGUGUUUAACAAUUUUUGUAAGGUUCUAAUGGCGACAUUGGUGUUCAAUAUUUCCGUAAGCUCUUUUUCAGCACAAUUGCAGCUGCUAUUUCAGAGGCUUUAGAUGGGUUACUUCCAAGGGUUAAAAUGGAUGCUUUUAGUAUUAGAGGUGAUAGUACGCGAGGAGCCAAUGGCAUGUCUAGUUACUUUUAUCAAACUUUCUGGGAUAUUGUUGGUCCUCAAGUUAUUGAGUAGGUGCAACAGUUUUUUUAUUCUGGUUCUUUACUUGUGGAUUGGAACUUUACUCAGAUUUUUCUGAUUCCUAAAAAGUUAAAUCCGUCAAAGAUGGUUGAUCUUCGGCCAAUUAGUCUUUGCCUCGGUGAUGUACAAGAUCGUCUCCAAAGUGCUUUGCAACCAUUUAAAUAGAUUUCUUCCUACUAUAAUUUCAUAUACACAAGGAGCUUUUGUGUCUGGUCGCCUCAUUUCAGACAACAUGCUUCUUGCACACAAGAUGGUAGAUGCUUUACAAACUAACUCAUGGUGUGAUGAAAAUGUUAUUGCUAUCAAGACAGACAUGUCGAAGACGUAUGACCGGAUUGAGUGGUCUUUUUUGAAAGAAUUACUCAUUUGGUUAGGUUUUUAUAUCAAAUGGGUACACUUGAUAAUGAUCUGUGUUAGUUCGGUUUCAUACUCGGUGCUUAUCAAUGGUGCUUCCCAUUGCUUUAUUAAACCAGAAAGGGGCCUUCAUCAGGCGAUCCAUUGUCACCAUUUCUUUUUAUCCUGUGUGCGGAAGCUUUGGUUCAAAUAUUGAAUAAAGCAGAUGUUGAAGGUUGGUUAACGGGAAUGAAAAUGUCAUCUUCCUGUUUGUCAAUUCAGCAUCUACUUUUUGCAGAUGAUAGUCUGUUUUUAUGUCAAGCAAAUCUCCCAGAGUGUGCUGAAUUUUUACGGUGCCAUGAUCUUUAUGGAAAAGCUUCGGGACAGGAAAUUAAUUUUCAAAAGUCAUCAAUUACUUUUGGGAAGAAAUUAGAUCCGGAUAUGCGUUGUGUGUUGAGUUUAUUCUUGGGGAUUGAUCACGAGGGUGAAGCUGGUAAGUAUUUGGGUCUUCCUGAAUGCUUUAGUGGCUCUAAAUGUGAUCUCAUACACUUCAUUACAGAUAGAUUGAAAUCAAGACUUAGUGGCUGGUAUGAGAAGAUGCUUUCUUUGGGAGGAAAGGAGGUUUUAUUAAAAUCUGGGGCGAUGGCUCUUCCCGUGUAUGUUAUGUCUUGUUUCAGAUUGACUAAACAUCAAUGUAAUGAAGUGCAAUGAUGUAGUUCUGGUGGAAUGCUAAUGAUGGUUCGAAAAAGAUGCAUUGGGUUGCAUGGGAGAAAGUUUGCCGAUCCAAAGAACGCGGUGGACUUGGCUUUCGUGAUAUUAGCCGUUUUAAUUAGGCUUUGCUUGCAAAGCAGGCUUGGUGGCUCCUUGAUACUCCAUCAUCGCUACUGGCAUGAGUUUAUGAGGCUGUCUACUUUGCUAAUAAAACUUUUUUGGAGGAUAGCUUGGGGUAUCGACCUUCUUAUGCGUGGUGUAGCAUACUUCAUGGUCGAGAAUUACUUGAAAAAGGAGUCAUGAAGUAUGUUGGGUAUGGGCAGAACACGAAUGUAUGGAUGGACAAAUGGAUUUUUUAUGACUCUUCUCGAAGGCCCUGCAACAAGGAGAUCUUUAUGGAUUUGCGGCUUCAAGUCUUAUCUCUUAUUCUUCUUGAUGGUUCUUGAAAUGUCCCUCGGCUUCAUGCGCUAUUUCCACCUAAUGAUGUGAAUCGUAUCUGCUCCUUUCCACCUGCAUUGCAUCUCAAGGAUAGGCAUAUUUGGGCCUUUACAGCAGAUGGAAAUUAUUCAGUAAAGAGUGGUUAUUAGUUCUUGAAUCGGGAAGCUAAGAUGCUUGAACAACUACAUGAAGAUGUGCUAAGUUUAAAUAGGGUUAAGGCUAAAGUCUGGGACCUUAAUACGGAACCUAAAUUUCGUAUGUUCUUGUGGCGUGCUUUGUCUGGCGCCUUGGCAGUUGCACAAUGUAUACGUAAACAUGGCCUUCAUGUUAAUCCGCUCUGUCAAGUUUAUAAAGUCGAGGAGGAAACGAUAUCUCAUGUUCUUUUUGGUUGCUCCUUAGCUAGUCAAGUUUGGUCCACACUAUCUCUUCCAUUACCGGAUUAUAGUUUCUCCUUGAGUAUAGCUGAAAACCUUGACCAUGUUCUCAGAUUAAUGGAUCAGAUUGAUCUUCCAGUUCGGCAAAGGAAUGCGCUUCCUUCGAUUCUUUGGGAGAAUUGAAAAACACAAAAUGGAGCUAUUUUUGCAGGCCAGGUCCAAGAUCAUAACAUCUUACUUGCCUCUACUUUUAUUACGUAUGAGGAAUGGUGUUUGCAACAACAUAUAGUGAGUUCUGAGCUGAUUAAUGGUGGCCCUCGUGGCCCUUCUACCUUGCAAAGAUUGUUUAAACGAGCAGUCAGCGUUAUAAAGUGUAAUGUCCACUGCUCGUGGAUUAAUGAGCUCUGUUUCUGUGGAGCUGCUUGGUUAUUACGAAAUCAUGAUGGAGGGGCUUUGUUUCAUACUCGAGAUGUUUUCUUGCCACGACAAAACAGGAUUUCUGCUGAACUUAGCUGCAUUGUUUGGUGCCUUAAGAGUGUGACCACGGAGGGGAGGCUUACAUCGUAUCUUUCUCUUGGCGGGCCGGGUUGUUUACAUGAGAAGAUUGAGCAAGAGCGUCGGUGAUCUUUUGGUGUCUUAUUUUUGUUUCUUGUUCAUCCAUGGCUUUCUUCAUUGUAUUUUGCGAACUCUUUUCAAUAAGAUAAAUACUGUUUCCUGGAAACAAAAAAAUGAAAAUUAUAAAAACAAACCCAUGUAAAAAAACAACAUAUGAGUUACAAAACAGAUAACUUAUCAUGCCUAUCUCUUGGAACUUAUGAAAUAAUAAAGUUCAUUGGAGAGCUGCAAUUAGGGGUGUCAAAAUGGGUCAAGGUUCAUGGGUUGGGUCAACUUAACUCAACUCAACUCAAUCCAUAAAAUUCAGUAAGUUGAAAUUUUUUGACCAUAAUGAAUUCAUGAGUCAAAUGAGUAUAGAGUCAAAUGGUUUGAUGGAUCAAAUGAGUUGAGUUGUAAUGGGUUGAUGGUUUAACCAUUUAAUCUACUAAUUCUUGUUCAAUUGAGUUAACAAGCUCAAAUACUAAAGCCAAUUGAACCACAUCAUCACAUCAUCAUAUCAUCAUCAUCAUCACCAUCAUACCAACAUCACCACAUCGACAUCACAUACAUCAUCAUAGUCAUCAUCAUCAUCACCAUCACCAUCAACAUCACCAUCACCAUCACCAUCACUAUAAUCUUCUUCAUCAUCAUAACCAUCACCAUCAUCACCACCACCACCACCACCAUCAUUAUCUUACCACCAUCAUCAUCAUCAUUAUCUUAUAUUCCUUAUUUUUCACCAAAAAACUAAAUUCGUAUUUUUCCCAUCACUAUAAUCUUGUUUUUCGCACUGUUCCGCCAAAAAACAUAAAUAUAUCGGUCAAAUAUACAAAUUCGCAAAUUUUCUGCCAAAAACGUAAAUACACAAUUUUUAGCCAAAAACGUAAAUCCGCAGUUUUACUACUAAAAACAUAAAUUUGUUAGUUUCCCGCCAAAAACCGGAAGAUGUCUCUCCCAAGGUCGGAUUACUUUGCUUUUGGGAAGAGGGGUUGUUUCUGAACAAGUUGAUGGAGUGGUUGGCCGAAAACGUAAAAAGGGUAGAGUUGAAAAGACCCGACCUAUUUUUUUCUUUUAAAUUCAUUAAUUAAUAGUAGAAUAUCCAUUAAUUAAUCUGACCGAAUUAAUCCAACAAUAAACCAUCGUGCACAGCGGAAACAUAUAAAACCAACACCAAUUAAUCAUUAUAUUAAUUAACCAAUUAUUCAAUAAUCACAAUUUACACCAGCAAGCUACCAUAUCUCUAAACCAGGUUCCAACAACAAUUAAACAUAUUCAUAAACAUAACAACCGAGACCCUAGAUCAUCCUCCUCUCCUCGCCAUGAUUCCACGGAUCACACUUUACCUACACCACAAACACAACAAGAUGCGUGAGUAUUAUCACAAAUAGUCAAUGAGGCGAUCCUCCCAUCUACGAGCUAUACACACAAGCAAUGAGAUAACACCCACAUAUAUAGCAUAAACAAACCAUCCAACAAGAUAAACAUCCAAUAACACUUCCAGUUCACCUACAAAUCAUCAUAAACAAGUCACUCAAUCCCAAUCGCAUAGUUAAGCUCAUGGUCACGCACUCACCUUUACAAGGUGACUUGAAUAACAAAUACAACCAGGAAAGACUCUCCUCGCGACUGCAGCAGCCAAACAACGCCCUACAACAAUCCACACAAACAAAAGUCUCUAAGAACUAAUUAGACAGAAACAGCAGAAAAACUACAGCCGCUGAAACGAAGCCCCAAAACAUAAACAAAUCGUUAACUUCAUAAUCCCUUCGGUGGAAAUAACGAACUAGAUGUUAAGAACCUUCCAACAAAAUUUGAUGCCGAUCAGAUAAACGAAAAAAACCACGAUCGCACUUACAAAAUCUGCUUCUCCCAAUUCACGACAGAGAAGAAGUGUCUCACCAAACUUUCUAUAAGAUUUGAUACCUCUUAUCUCUAUUCUACCAAGACGUGACGAAUCUGCUUCUCUUGCCUUAUACACCAAAGCAAAGCUAACCCUCUCCUUCUCACAAGUGAACUUCUCCUUCUCCUUUUCUCAAACUAAUUUCUCAGAAACAAACAGCGACGAAACAAAAGAGAGAAGAGGCGUUCCUUAUAAAAGUAGGGUUUUUGUUUAAUUUGAUAAAACCAGGAUUUACCUAAACCGACAUUAAUUAGACCUCCUUUGAUUCAAUUGAAAGAUCCACCAAUUUAGGAAAUCAACAGGAAUUAAACCGACCUCACCCUAAUUCUUAUACACACUCAAGUCUUGUAUUAUUUUCAAGAAUAGGGGCGUUACAAGAACACUGUCUACGAAGCUGGAUUGCCGUUACCAGUACCUGGCGAGUCUACAAUGUCAUCUGACCUUGAAGAAUGUUUCUAAGAGCCUAUGAAAAAACUCAAGAAUUUGCCAUUAGUCAAUAACAUUGUUAACUCAUACUUUACCGUGUUAAACAUAAAAUUAUAAGUUAAUCUUCCACCAACCUGAUAACAUAUCCUAAGACCUUUUUGCCAGUUUCACAAUUCUUGUUUAUUAGCAAAGCCAAAGAAUUAACAAUUUCUAGUAAAAAUAUUCUAGAAAUAAAUGAAAGGAAGAAACCCAUGUGUAACAAGGUAUUCAUUACCAUAUUUCCCUCAUAUCUCAAUAUCUCUUAUAUUGAUGUACUAUUUAACAUAUAUUUGUUUUGUUACCAUGUGAUGGACGCCCUUAUCAAGUUUAGCCUGCACCUUCCGAGGACAGAUAAAGUUUAUGGAGCCAAACUCCGGGUUGUUGUUCUUGAUUUAAAAUUUGUCUCCCUCUUUACCAGGGUUAAUCCCAAGUUCAUCGAGAGGCCUAUUGUGAUACUAGUAUGACACAAUCCCAGCCUGGGCCUUAUUGCAUCGAGAGGCCUAUUGUGAUACAAGAUUGAAAUCACUCCAACUUUAGACCACUUGAUGAUAAAGAGAUUCCAACCUUAGCUUGUAGAAGGUGGAAUUCACGAGCUGGCUCUGAAGCACUCUCUCGUGAAUCAAGGGGUGGUACAUGGGAUACUUCAGGUGUUUAACUCACUCAAUCAGUGGGAUAAUCGACUCACUCGAUCAAUAGAAGAAUGAAGGAUGUUGAAUCACUCAACAAACUUAAUCCACAAGCUUCUAAAGCACUAAGUUACUCGUUCACAAAGAACUAAAGAAGAACAAUGACAAAGACUCAAACUUUGACAAGAAUAAUACUUUAUAUUACUUUAAAGUGAUCAAGCGUAAUUACAUAUGAACAAUCUAAUGAGCUUAUAUCGGCUCAGCUGCACGUCCUAAUAAUGUAAAACAAGAAACAAACCGCACAAAAUUAAGUACACUAGCCGUUGGGACUUUAUGAACCAAAUCGGCGAAAUAAGGCAAGUAGAGAGAUGCCUUGAGUCUUGAAAGCUUCGGUGCGAGUCCAUGACUCCUUGGAGUGCCUAUGCUAAUUUUAGAAAGUUUCAAGACGUGCAUAAGUAAAUAAGGAAGAAGUCCUUGCAGCUUGAUCUCCUUUGCCUCUAUGUAUGGUAAGUAGUUACUCAACGGGUUCUUGUGUGGAAUGGUGUACCAAAGGUCGUGUUGCACAGUCUUCUAUGAUAUAGAUAUCCUCCUGGUUUCCAUAUAUGUAUUUGGGACAAGCCGAAAUGAAAGAAAAUGAUAGUUUCCUUAUCUCGCUCCAAGUAGAUCAACGACCUUGAUUCAAAGAGUGGUUUGGACUUGGGUCUUCUCUUAGGUUGUUCUCCAUGGGCUGGGGCCUUGUGGUGAUUCAAAUAAGUGUAUGAGAUCCCUUCAUGGCUGAUACAAGUGUGAAAAGGCUUAAAAUCCCGACAGCUUGCAAUAUGGUGUAAUUCAGCAAGUCUGUCAACAAGUACUUCAGCAUGUUCGUCAGCGAUUAGAUCAGAAUAUACAUCAAUUAUUAUCUUUGAAUCAUUUUUUUGUGAUAAAUUUCAAUUUUUUUAGUGACUUUUUGAUAAAAUUUGAAAGAGGUGUAUUUUUAAAAAGUGGUAUUGGAAAAAUGGUAUUUUUGAUAUUCUCCCUUUUUUAUUCAUGAUUUGGUUAACUAAUAUUAUUUAUUUAUAAAAUUAAAAAAAAAAAAUAGUUGAGUUGAGUAGGGUUAUCCGUUACUCAUUAGGUAAUGAGUUCAGUUGAGUUGGGUUAUCCAUUUAAGUAUCAUGUGAUUAUAUCACCAUAGUUUCUCCAUCAUCUCCAUAUAUUGAAAUAUAUUUUUGAUACACAAUACUAAGAAAUCAUAAGAAAGCAUUGGAUAUCAUAUAAUGUUUUUAUUCUAAUUACCUAUCAGGAUAGCAAAUUUGAAUUGCUAAUUACUGCACUUAUUCACCUCCUCUUAAUUAGUUAAUCACGAAUAAAAGUGGUUCACCCAAAAUGAAAUUUUUUUUUAAAAAAAAAGUGGUUGACCCCCAAGAAGUUUUUGAAUUAACAUUUUUAUUAGUUUUAAUAAAAUUGCAAAUUAUAUGUAGAUAUUUUUUUUCUUAAUUAGUUUUUCUACUAUAGUUAGUUAAAAAAAACUUACACAUAGCAAUAUCUGAUUAAUAUAAUUGAUACGUGAGAUGAUCUUGUUAAUGACUAACCUUUAAACUAUGUUAAAAAAAAUUGAUAAAAAAAAGUUCUGAUACAAAAUGUUGAUACGAAACUAAGUAAAUGAUAUCAGAAUCAAUUCAUUUGUGUCUCAUACGUUAUAGAGCCAAUUAGCUGAAUAAUUAAAUUCAAUUAUAUAAUUAAAAUAUAGCAUAUUAAAGAAAAUAAUAAAGGAACUAACCAUGGCACAUGAUUGAUUCACAUCUUUCUAGUUUUUAGAGUAUGUAAGAUGAUUUGGAUUUUUAAAAACAGACAUAAACUUAUAUUAAAAAUGAGUAAUUGCAAACUUUGGAUUCAGUUGAAGAUAUAUUUAACUAACACAAAACUCUACUGUUGACUAGGUAUUGUAUAUGUAUUUAUGUCUCUUUUACCCCUAUGAUGUCGCAUGUAGAGGACAGAGUAGUAUCUAUAAAGAUUAUGUGUCAAAUCUGUGGUCAGGCGAAUUUAGCCAGAUUUUCAAAAUUAUUAUGAUGAAUUUUUUUGGCUAAACGUGUUAUUGGGCUAAAAACACGAAACGUCGUCACCUUAGUGUUUUAUAGACGUUCAUCAUCUGUCACUUCUUUUUGUUUAUGUAUUUUACUUUUUCUCAUCAUAUUUGGGGCUUUUAUGGAUUUAUUAGGGUAUUGGCAAAACCUCAUAUGACACAGCCUAUCACAAAGGAGUUGGAACAACAUAAAAAGCUUGUAGCCAUGGAGAAAGUCAAAGUAGAGGAGCAGCUCCAAGUUAAGGAGUCAUUUUAACCAGAAUAUGAGCUUAUAGGGGAGAAAGAGUAUGAAAAUAUGUUAUCUUAACCUUACUGGUUUUGAUACAUGAUCAUCAAAUGGGCAUGUGUCUCAUUUGUACUUUUUUUUUUCUUGUCAAGUUUUGUCCCAAUGGGUUUUCGUCAAAAGUUUUUUAAUGACGCAAAUGAUGCACAUUCAAAUCACCCAUUUGUUGAUCCAAAUUAUGGCAUAACUUUUAGAAGUUGACUGAAGAGAAAACAUAUCAAACCCAACUUGUUUUAUGCCUAUUACAAGCCCAAGAAGAACCCAAACCAAGUGGGUAAUUUGCUGGUCAAGAGGAGUGACGAAAAUAGCAUUUCAAGAGUCAAAGAAAUGGAAGGGUUAUCUUUAAACUUUCAAACUUGUCUUUAUUUCUUUUCAAUUUGCAAGGUAGUCUUUUGAGUGUGUACCAAAACGUCCGUCUUCUUUAUAAACCCCUUGUAAUCUCUUUUGAGUAUUAAUCAAACUUUUUAUAAUCGAAACUUCUUUCCAAAUUGUUUGAUUUGAAGGGUGUGUAAUAUCUCUUCGUCUAGUGACCGUCUGGUGUGUCAUAUCCAAGCCUAAUUAAGCAAGUUCGCUAGUUUAGUGGUCUUUCUACAACUAUUGAAAGUUACAAUCGAUCCACAAAGGCAUCCAUUUCAUCAUCAUCACGUCCUCAUAGAUCCACUCUAUCCCCAAUUCACUAUCAUUUGUCUUUUUUUUUUUUUUAUCACGGAUCUACAUUCGUUGUUCACAAUCUAUACAAAUAACAUUCAAGGGACUUGAUCUUCUCAACAAGGAUCAUAUUAAAAGCGUACUAAGGCUUUCAGGUGAGAGCGUUACUUUGAUGUUUGUCUAUUUCUGUAUCUACCUGGUGUUAGUGUUAUUUUUCUAACUUCGUUAUCGUUCAUAGUUUUACGAGAUGGAACUUCCCAAUUACCUUAUUGCAUAUGGGAAAGAACCUCUUGGGGAAAGGGUUAAUGUUUACCACAAGUUGAAAAUCUUGGUUCGCAUUACUGACGCCCUUACAGAGGACGAACUGAAAAAAAUUAGGGAAUCAUCAUUGAGGAGACUCUUGGAUUUCCUCAACCAGCUGAAUUGGUCAGCCACCUUUGGACUCUUUCUUUUAGGUAGAAGGUUGGAUGUUGCAAAAUAAAACGAGAUUUGGGUUCUAUUCGCGGGUACUCCCAAUCGUUUUUCAAUAAGGGAGUUCAAACUUGUUACUAGAUUCCCUUGUGGCAAAUUGCCGAAAAACCAGAAGAAAAGGAGGGGUACGAUCGGGAAGAAGAUCCCUAUUACAUCACAUUAUUUGGUCUGGAAGAUGAUGUUAGUGUUGACCGGGUAAUCAACAUCUUGAAGAAGAAAGAUGUGAAAGAUGUAGGGUUGGGGCUUAGAUAUGCCUAUUUGGCCCUUGUCGACGGGUUUUUGCUACCAACAUCACACCAUCUCAAGAUCUGGAAAGACCAUGCUGAGAUGUCUAAGAACGUAGAUACAUUCCUUGCUUAUUUGUGGGGCUGGUUAUCCUUUGAGAUGACUAUGACGUCUAUUGAAGAGAGAGAUGUUGAACAGCUUGCAGUCCAAGGAUUAUUUUACGCGCUGCAGCUGGUUGUUUUGCAACCCAUUCUAGCGAUACCAGAAGUCCCUAUCCUAGACGACACUAUUUAUUCCGAUUGUGAGGAGGAUGAUGCACCGAGGCGACAUGUUGUGAACUUGAAGCUCGGAAACGCUAAGGACAUUAAGAGGUAAUGCGAGGUUAGCAUCUUAGGAUUAGUCCUUAAUAUUGUUAACAUCUAACUCGAGAGUAAUUAGUCAAUGCUAAUACAUAUAGCAAUUAAUUAGGAAGAUAGUUGAUAAGUUUUUCUUUACCUAGAUAUAUGUAUCUUUCCUUUUUUCUCAAGCUCAUGUUAAUUCAAUUAUACUCCCGGACGUUAAGUUGGAUCAAUAUGUUGAACGUUUGAUAUGGUUAGAUGAUCAAGAAGACCCGAAAGUCAACAACAUGGUUCGUCUUGCCGAGGAAGGAUUUAAGCUUUUGAAUUUUCUAUUACAGGGUGGUUAUAUUCCGCCCAAGGUAGAAGUGGUUCAAAAAAACCCUGAGGAAAUUGACCACUCAACAAAGAAUCCCAUCCGCUCCUCUAGUUAUUGGUGUUUCCCGCCAACUACGGGGCUUAUCGAUAUCGAGAUGUUAUCUACACUUUUGGACGCCAAGCUCGCUGGUCAUGAACAAAGAAUAAUUAAUGGUGUCACCAGCUUGUUAAAACUAAACAAUGUUAUAUCCGUUGAGACAACCUAUGUCCUGGAAGAAUCUGAGGAGGACCCUUGCGCUAAUGAUAACGAAGAUCUUCAAGCUAAUAAUGUGCCCCCCGUCCAUAUAACCCUUUUACGAGUGGGUUUUCACCAAACCUUAUCAUUGGCAACCAUCCGAGGAAUGAUACUAAUGGCAUUCCCUCGCGAUUAGAUUUAAAGAUUGAUGGAGUUUCAAAGACUAUUGAUAUUAUUCCAAUCCCCACCAUGGUGGAAGAGCCAAAUCCAGUCAUCGCCAGGUCCCUGGUCUCUUCUUUCUACAACCCUGACAACUAAUCCAAAGGAUCUGCAAGUAAUUAAGGUGACAAAGUUAUUGUCUAACCAUGUUAUCAUAUAUGUUAAUUAGUUUCGACGAUUGUCCUUCUAAAACGUUUCCUGUUUAUUUGGUGUAGGACGGCGGCUUCGGCGACCAGAACCAAAAGGCUGAUGGCGCCAUGGUUAGUUAUCAUCCUCCCACUGUCUUAGAAUUUUAGCAUCUUUCAUUUUUUUGGUCAUAUUAAUACCCGUUAAUAUUUAACUUUUUAAUAUGUAAUAUUAAUACCUAGUUAGCAUGUUUCACUUACUUUCUGUAGUAUUGUUACCCGGUAAUAUCAAACUUAUAAAAAAUCCUAAAUAGUAACUAUCUUAUCGUAUUUGUAUAUUAGUUUCUUUCGAUGUUAUGGUGAUGCUCUGUCUGUGUAUUUUGUGAUGGACUACCACUCAGGCAACAAGGUCCAGGCCCAGGACCAGAUUCAUGCCGGCGAUGGCGGCAUGGUUAGUUUUCCGCUCACUACUGAGGAUUAUAGUUAGCUUGUUUUACUUAUUAUUCUGUGAUAAUAAAAUACUCGUUACUAUUUUACUUAACAAAUAACAUUAUUAGCAAUUACAUUCUGAAUUACAUACAUAUUUUGUGUAUUUAUUAUUAUGUUUUUUGUAUUUGGUGGGUUAGGAAGAAGAGCCAAUCGAUGACGUUGCUGUACUUUUCGUUACCAUGCUUUGUAUAUUCAUUUCUUCUACUUUUUCAUAUUUUUCAAAUUUUCCUUUCUAUUUACUUAUUUCCUUGUUAUCACUUUAAUCAGGUUGUCGACCAAAUUGAUACAAAUUUUAAAACACCAACCAAACAUGACAUAAACCCCCAGGUUUACUAAUCGUCUAUUAUCCUUUGUUGUAUAAUUAUUCAGUGGAUGGCCAAAUAAUAAUAUUAUUUAUGUAUGUAUAACUCAGGCUCUCUCUCACUCAAUACCGGAAGCUAUGUCUCCCAUGGUCGAACUUACUUUGCUUUUAAGGAGUGGGGUUGUUGUUGAACAAGUUGCUGGAGUAGUUGGCCGAAGGAGUAAAAGGGGUAGAACGCUGUCUAUGAAGCUGGACUGCCGUUACCAGUACAACAAGAAAACCAAGUUUCUUGAUGGGCACACAUCUCUCAUUCCCGGCGAGUCCACAAUGUCAUCAGACCUUGAAGAAUGUUUCCAAAACUCUAUGAAAAAACUCAUGAAUUUGCGAUUAGUCAAUAACAUUGUUAACUCAUACUUUCCGUGUUAAACAUAAAAUUAUAAGUUCAUCUUUCCCCAACCUGAUAACAUAUCCUAAGACCUUUUUCCUCGAUCAUAGUUCUGGUUUAUUAGCAUAGGCAAAGAAUUCACAAUUUCUAGUAAAGAUAUUCUAGAAAUAAAUGAUAGGAAGAAACCCAUGUGUAACAAGGUAUUUGUUACCAUCUUUCCCUCAUAUCUCAAUAUCUCUUACAUUGAUGUACUAUUUAACAUAUGUUUGUUCUAUUACCAUGUGACGGAUGCCCUUAUCAAGUUUAGCCGGCACCAUCUGAGGAAAGAUGAAGUUGAUGGAGCCAAACUCAGGGUUGUUGUUCUUGACUCAAAAAAUUUCUACCUGUUUACCAGGGUUAAUCCUAAGUUCUCUAAGUGUCCAAAUCCGUCGGAUUUCAAAUUCCCUCAAUAGCUUGUUGACUUGAUUGUUGGUGGUACUGUUGCUGAACGAGUCCAGCUCUUCGCGGAAGCUUAUUUUCUCUACUUCCCAUUCAACUUUGACAAGAGGCAUUGGGUUGCUCUCUACGUUUAUUUAAAAGAAAGGAAGAUUACUGUUCUUGAUCAUAACGUGAACUUCCAAAGCGACUUUAGAAUCAACACCGUCAACUUCCUCACCUCUCUCCUCAUUAGGCAGGUGGUGGCAAUUCCCAAUAUGACACAAUGCCAGCUUGGGCCUUAUUGCAUCGAGAGGCCUAUUAUGAUACAAGAUUGGAAUCACUCCAACUUUAGAUUUCUUGAUGAUCAAGAUAUUCCAAGCUUAGCUUGCGGAAGGUGGAAUUCACGAGCUGGAUCUGAAGCACUUUCUCGUGAAUCAAGGGGUUAUACAUGGGAUACUUCAGGUGAUUGACUCAAUCAAUCAGUGGGAUAAUCGUCUCACUCGAUCAAUAGAAGAAUGAAGGAUGUUGAAUCACUCAAGAAGCUUAAUCCGCAUGUUUCUAAAGCACUAAGUCACUCAUUCAAAAAGAACUAAAGAAGAACAACGACAACGACUCAAACUUUGACAAGAAUAAAACUUUCUAUUACUUUAAAGUGAUCAAGGGUAAUUACAAAUGAAAAAUCUAAUGAGCUUAUAUAGGCUCAGCUGCACGUCCUAACAAUGUAAAACAAGAAACAAAUCGCACAAAAUUAAGUACACUAGCCGUUGAGACUCUAUGAACCAAAUUGGCUAAAUAAGGCAAGUAGAGAGAUGCCUUAUGUAUUGAAAGCUUUAGUGCAAAUCCAUUACUCCUUUGAGUUCCUAUGUUAGUUUUAGGAAGUUUCAAGAUGUGAAUAAGUGAAUAAGGAAGAAGUAUUUGCAACUUGAUCUCUUUUGCCUCCAUGUAUGGUAAGUAGUGACUCGUCUGGUUCUUGUGUGGUAUGUUGUACCAAAGGUCGUGUUGCACAGUCUUCUAUCGUGUAGAUAUCCUCCUUGUUUCUAUAUAUGUAUUUGGGACACGCCCAAAUGAAAGAAAGGAUAGUUUCCUUAUCUUGCUCCAACUAGAUCAAUGACAUUGAUUCAAAGGGUGGUUUGAACUUGGGUCUUCUCUUAGGUUGUUCUCCAUGGGCUGGGGCCUUGUGGUGGUUCAAAUAAGUGUAUGGGAUCUCUUCAUGGCUGAUCCAAGUGUCAAAAGACUUCUAAUCCUCACAGGUUGCAAUAUGGUGUAGUUCAGCAUGCCUGUUAGCGAGUUCAGCAUGCAUGUUAGCGAGUAGUUCAGCAUGUUCAUCAACGAGUAGAUCAGAAUGACCAUUUCAUGAACCUUUGGCGGUACACGACAUAUUCCAAUCCUUUUUUGUAGUUUUCGAUGACCAUUUCAUGAACCUUUGGCGGUAAUAUGUUUUCUCAAGCUGUGUUGCCUUGCGACGAAGGACGAACGAUGCUACCAAAACUGUACCUAUGGUUCCUAGUAUCGAAAUCACUAGGUAAUUUCAUGCCAUGGUCAAGACAUUGUUUAGCGACUCCGCGAUGUUGCUUAUCAUUACAUUAAACCAAUCUCCUACGAAAUGUGAUCUUGUCCAAUGUUUAAAUCCAAUCCCGGUUAGGUAACCUGCACAUGCCGGAUUCAUUGCUCUGAUUUUGGCGAAAAUUCAGCUGAAAUCCCCAUGCAUAUAGACUCUCGCCGCGCUCAAAACCAACCAUAUUAGCAGCUCCGAGUUAAACAAGGAGAUAAUGUUUCUUUGAAGUUGGACAACGCUUGCAUCAUGAGAAAUGUAUACUCAUUUAUAUACCAUCAUAUGUUCAUUAUCAGGAAAUGUAUCAUUAGAUAAUUAUUUAUGUGAUAAAAUUACCUACAUGUUGACCUAUCUACGAUUUAAUCACUUAUCUAUCUACCAUAAAAUUUACACAACGGCGAAAUUGAGUAUUUCCCCAGUUACCCAACACUUUGUGAAUAUUACCUAGUAGGAAUUUAACCAGCUACCUAUUCUUUUAAAACUUAACACGGUUAACAACUAAAUCUAAUCAAUCGAAUGUUAUCUUUCUUUGUCUCUAGUGUCACAAUAGAAUUUCAAUUCAUUUUAAAAAGCAGCUUGAAAUAAGGUUGGAUCAAGGAUAAACUCCCCACUGCCGAACCCAACGCAUUAUCCAUAGCGAUUUCCCUCGCCGGCCAUGCCUGCAAGUAUGAAACAUUAAGGUGGAACUCUUGGCGGAGUAUCUAUCGAAGCUCAUUGAGUCUUGGUCUCGUUCUGACACCUAGGUAUCGCGUUCUCAUUAGUUUGAGUGUUCGAGUGGAUCAGAAAAGUAGCUCGACCAACCAUCCGUUCAAGUCAUCCGACCAGACCGAUCGGAUGCACGACCGAGCAGACCGAUCGAGCUCGUUUAAACCGACUUUCUAUUUUUCUGCUAGUGAUUUAGGGCUUCCUAAACUUGCUAUAAUAAGGCUCUUUGCCUAAUGACUUAGGAUCUCGAGUUGUAUUAGGGUUUCUCUUCAUUUUGCUUUAGAAUUUCCAUAAUUUUGUAAACUAUAUAUCUUUUGAUCUAUUGAGUAUUUGCUGUUGGUUCUUUGUUUGAUUUUGCUUGUCUCUCCUAGAUCUAUCUGAUUAUGCAUGUUUUAAUGAUUUUUGGGGUUGAGUUCUUGAGCAUGUUUGUCAGAUCUGGGUAGAUUCUUAAGGUUUUGGGGAUGAGCUAGAUGUGUAGGUGGAGAAGUUUAGAUAACUAGGUUGCCCAUAGAUAGAACUGUUUAGAUUUCCUUUUGGAUUAGUGUAAUAUACACUAAUCCCAUUAUGUUCAAGUGGUGAUUACCUCACAGGCUUCCAUGCCAGAGAGGUGUUCGAUGGAAUGCCCGAUAAUCUAAUGCCAGAGAAUUUUAUGUCUAGCCCAAGAGAUGGGUUGUCUAGAUUUUAAUUUGACACUAAUGAGCUGAUUCUUAAUGCCUAUUCAUUUCAUGUUUCAUCAACCAGAAGUUGAGAUUAGGAAGUGAUUUGAAUUUGAUAGCCUUUGUCAAGAGAUUGAACUAGUUAGAUUAUGAGCUUGUUGUUUAGGAAACAUCACUGUUUGUGUUUGAUUUAUUUAGAUGGGUUACUUCCAAGGGUUAAAAUGGAUGCUUUUAGUAUUAGAGGUGAUAGUACGCGAGGAGCCAAUGGAUUUUUCACCAAAUUGAUAGUAGAAUUUUUCACCCUACUAUCCAAACUACAAAGAGUUUGCUAGUAGUAUGGUGGUAAGUAUUCGCUCCUGUCACGCGGGUGAUCCAGGUUUGAUCCCCGACAGCGGCUUCAAAUUGAUAGUGAGUUUCUAAGAUACUUGGUUCAAUUCUCUAGUGAAAUGCAGUACAAAAGGGAUUUAAUCUAUCCAAAUAUAAGUGAACUCAUAAUCUAUUUAAUCCAUUCUCUUGACAAAGUCUAUCAAUCUAAAGGUAAUUUUUAAUCUCAACUCUUAUUGAUGAAACAUCCAAUAAGAAGGCAUUAAACAAUAGUUCAUUAUUUUCAAAUAUAUUGUAGUCAACUAAUCACUUAGGUCUAGACACAUAAAAUCUUUGGCAUUAGAGGAUCAUACAUUUUAUCAAACACCUCUUGGGCGUGAAUAUCUGGACUCUAAUUCCAAAUGAUCAGUAAGAAAUUGUCAUUAUUGAUACGAUUUCAAAAGGACAAAAGGAAAAAUUACUACGUUGGUUUAACUCUAAUUGAUAAUUCUAAUUGACCGUGCACUCGAGUGGCUCGGUUGAUUGCAUAAUCAGACACCCGUUCGAUUGCAUCUUUUGAUCCACUCGAUCCUUUAGUCGAUUCCAAUGCUCGGAUACAGCUGCUCAAUCAAAUACAUCUUCUUCACUCAGUCGAUUAGGCAUGUCUUGUUCCUUUUUCCUCUGGUAAACACCUGUUUGGGCAGAAAAACUAUAAUACAUGCAGUGCAAGACCUAUACUCUACUAGUGAAGCAAAACAAAGGAAAUAUGUAUAAAUAAUCAAAAGAUGAUACCUAAAAUGACAGAAAAAUGACUUAAAACUAGUGCUGAGUUGAGUAAAAUCCAGACACAUCAUACUCAAAUAUCUUAAACAGAUGAUUUUAAAAACAUAUAUUAUAUGGUAAUACAAUUCUUUUACUCAAUAACAUUGUACCAACAUUUUUAUCCCUACUCAUAUGUACCAACUAAACUCCCAAGUAAACACACCACUACAAACAAAGAAAUCGGAUUACUAACUAUAAAGUAUUUCCAGAGAUAUCGCUGCUCAUUUGCCUUUUUGAGAGACAUAUGUCAUUACAAGAUGGCAUGGCGACUCCAAGUGAAAGUCCUACACAACUGGCGUCAAUACACCGCAGACACUCUUGAGCUGAUUUUGCCCGAUAAAAAUGUAAGUGUAACUGUUUUGAAUCUAUCUUAACAUUUUUGAAGUACAUUGUGACCACCCUUUUUAAUUUUUUUUCCACCGAUUACCCUCAAUAUCAAGCUAAUUAUUAAAACUGAUUAAGAUUAAUGAUGUAACUUCACGAUUCGGGUCGGUUAAUUUAAUCAAUUUCAAACCCACUUUCAAUAGAUGGAUAUUUACUCUCUCACAAAUCGAAAACACUGAUUUUUAUUUGAGUAAUUUGAAAAAGUCUUAAAUACAAUUCCAUAAUAUAUCAUGUUCCUACAAAUUAAGAAAGCAAUAACUAAUAACCUAAAUAAAUUACUACCACAAAUCCCCUGAUAGUUAAAAUUAUCAUUGUAAUCCAAUAUACUGCUUCCAAAUAUAUAGAUUUUACAGUUAAUUUGCAUAUUAAUGUAAACCAACAUAUAGUAACCAAAAUAUAUUUUCGAAAGCAUAUUUGAAGAAUAUACGUUCAAAAUGAUUCCUAAAUCAAAAAAUUAUAAUUUUGCAAAAUCUUCAAAUCUUGCCAAUCAAGAAUAAUAACAACUCGAUUGAAAACAACUUUAUAUCAUCUCACACAUUAUAUAUAUUUCAUUCAUCACUCCCUCAAUUGUCCACAAAACCACAAUUCAAAGCAAACAAUAGCAAAUGAAAUCAGUCACCUUUUAUAUCAACGAUGGUAGCUUCCGUAAAGGCAAGACUUUCUAUGCUGGUAAGGCAAAUGUCCCUGUAGCAGGUUUGUGUAGAUGCGUUUUCCUCUCUUGUAUUCACAAGCUUUGUUUCAAAUUGUCUUGUGAGCUGUGUUCAAGGGUUUUAUCUCUACACUUUAGCACUAUACUAUCUUAUCCAGAAAAAUAGAAUGCCAAGCCUGAGGCUUUAAUGUGAAUACUUUUUUUGUUUGCAGAAGUUUAUGUUCUGGUGAUUGGUUGUCAUGAUGGGGUUACAUUCUUCCUCUCUUCUCCUAGGUUACUUCUCACAUUCUCUCGACUCAUAUUGUGGUUAGAUGUUAUAUGUCCUCUUUCUACAUCCAUGGUUUAGCUCAGUUCGACUCAAGUUUCCCUGUUUGUAAACAUGUAGGCCACUCCUCAAGCUAAAUUAUCAGGUGAUAUCCUAACUGCCCUUACUAAGCGUACCUAAGAUGGAGGUACAAAAGUCAUGGAGGCAAAAGCAGGAAAAGAGUAAGCUUAAUUGUCAAUGGCGUAAGUGUUGUGCUGAUAUUUUAAUAUUUAUUAUCACUUGAGAAAACUUUCGUGAUUCUAACUUAACUUCUGAAAAAUAGUCAAAACUAUAUUGGAGAACUAUUUUCUGAUGCAUGCUUGAAAGGACUCAAUGUUGUUCUUGAUGGUGUAGAAUGCUCAUACGUGCAACAAUUACCAAACUUCUUUUCUCUGCCUCAAAGGUAGGCGUCAAAUCUUAGCAUCAAAACUCACAUUGUACACAGCCAACGGUCUCAUGACUUUGUUGAUGAAUGUGUGGGUUUGAUUAUGAUUUAGGUGAGGUUGGGUAAGAACGGUGUGGAGGAGGUUCUUGACUUGGGACCACUCUCAAACUUUGAGAAAGAAGGAUUGGAAGCAUUGAAGCCAGAACUUAAAUCCUUUAAAACCAAAAUUGGUUUAGGGAAACCCCUGAUCUCGAUAUAAGACUCUAGGGCGGCCAUUUUCUUCUCACUUUUUGGCUUUUGACGUUUUUAAAAGAAACAGAGAGAGUGAGUUGUGUGUUGGCUUGUUCCUAAGGCUUAAGGAGAGGUUCUGGAGGGUUUCUAAAGGUUUUUUUGGUUGGGUGUUGUGAGUUCUAGCAAGGAGAGGAUUGGAUUCUCGGCUGGUGGUGCAAGGAGGGUCUUGUCUUUGCUGUUUCUUCUCUAUUUUCGUCCAUCCUUCAACCCACAUCAAGGUGAGUGCGUGACUAUGGUUGAUAUGGGCAUAUAAGACCUUAUGAUGUGUGUUUGAUUGAUUUGGGUGGCUGGAAUUAUUUUGUUUGGGCUUGUUUGUGUGAUAUGGAUGUUGUUUUGUGUCCAUUGAUGGUUUAGGGUUCAAGUUUGGAGCCUUGAGGUGUUGGAAUCGAUCUUUGGUGUUAGGAGAUGCGCUUUCAAGGUUUCUGCGGAGCCAGUGUCGCUCCACCCCAUUAGGUGUCGCUCGACACAAAUUUGCUGCACAGUUUUUUGGACAGCAGUUUUUCUAGACAGCGAGUAAGUGGUGCCUGGCUUGGAUUGUUUUAUUGAUCUUAUGCAUGUUUGAUGGUCUUAUUAUGCCUGUGUAUAAUAACCCAGUAGAUGGGAAGACCACUUCACUGAGUAUUUGUGAUAAUACUCAUACAUCUCAUUGUUUCUGUGAUGUAGGUAAUGAUAAAGUGUGAUCGUGGAAUCAAGGCGAGGAAGAGGGCGAUGAUCUAGGGUUAUUGUGUGUUUUAUUAUUUUAGCUAUUUGUUUUUGGAACCAUGGAUUAGACACAUGCUAGGUCUUUGUUAUUGAUGUUGGUUUAUUUUGGUUAUUGGAUAAUUGUUUGAUGAUUGCUGGCUUAGUAAUUUAAUUGUUGGUUUGGAUUAAUUGGUUUGGUUUCCGCUGUGGUUUUCCUGUUAUUUUAAUUUGUUGGUUGAAUAUUAAUUAUGGCGUUAAUAUUGAUGAAUUAAAAUGAGAAAACGGGAUGGGUCAUUUCAGUAAUUUUGUCCAAUUUUCCAGCCAGAGUUGCCUCCUCCUCCUUCAUCGGGUUGUAUCAAUAAAAAUCCAUGUUUGUGUGUCCAUUAGUGAACCAUAAGGCUCCUUUGGUUCAGCACCAAACACAAAGAAAAACUUGACAUGUCAAGUUAUGAUUUUUUCUUCCUUUUGGAACCAUGCAACUUUCUUUUUUCAUGAACAAAGAGAUAAUUAUUUUGCAAUAUUACCCCAAUUAUAUCCGGGAAAAUGUCAAAUAAAUUGCCAACUUUCAAAUUUGCAACAAAAAAAUUGCGAAUCAUGGAGAUGUCAUUUUAAUUUGCAACUUUCUGUUGAUUUUUCUAUAAAUUUCCUAAGUUGUGUUGGUUCAUCCGAUUUAAUCUUAGGGCUAAGUCUUUGUGACGAGCUUAUGAACAGGGUUAAGUGCCUGUUAGUUGUCUCCGUCUGUGAUUAAACGCAACGUUUAAGGGAGAAGAAGAAGCUUAACAGAAAAAAUCCCCAAAUCGAGUUUUGCUUUCAAAUCGAAACCCUAGAAAAAAAGAAUCCCAUUCUCUCUCAAAGGAGGAUGGAGGGCUUCCGACAUGUAGAUCUGUAAGAUUGAGUUUGUCAAAGGAGACAAACGAAGGAGAUAUCAAUGGAUAUGAGAUGGUUCUAAUCGAAGGAGACUUCGAUUGAGAUGAGACUGCUCAGACGACUGAGACAGUAGAUGCAAUGGAGACAGAAAUAGUACAGGCAAUGGAGAAAAAAACAGAGGCUGACAAUUUUGCAUUACUACCACAAUUAUAUACUUACCAAAAUUUAUUUAAUUUGAAAAUUAGAAAAUCUGUAAAUUGAAAAUAAAUUCCUAAUUGUUAUUUUUAAUGUUAGGUGGUAACUUAAUAUAUGUAUAAACUUUAUAGUAAUAAUACAAUUUAUAUUAAAAUAUACACAUACUUAUAGUUAUUUCUAAUUUAACACACAUAAAUUUGAUAAUAAAUACACAUUACUAACACACAUAAAAUUUAAUUUUCACAAAGAUACACAUAUUAACUAUAUUUCUUUCUAAUUUAACCCACAAACUAGAUUAACUAAAAACAAACAAACACACAUACAUAUAUAUAUAUAUAUAUAUAUAUAUAUAAUUGUAACAUAUCUAUUAAACUUCAAGAAAAUUCAAUUUAUUAAUAAUUAUAAUACAAAAUCAUAAAAUUUAUACGUAAAAUCAAAUAUAAAAAAUGGUCCCGAGGCGCACCACGGGAUAAAUCCUUGGCAAUUCCAAAAUUUUUCAAGAAAUGAAAUUAUUGGCAGUUCAAUAUAAUUUGAAUGUGCCGAAUGACAUGUUUUCAUCAAAAUUGACAAAGGAUUUAGAUAAAAAGUGAGGUUUGAAAAUCGAAUUCAUAAUUAUUGGUAGUUUUUGCAAAAUACAAAGUCAAAAGUACCAGUAAGACUUAUUUCCAUAUUAGACUAACUAUUUAGUGUAGUUUAUUAAUUUAAAAGUACAUAAGUGAAAUGAUUUUUUGUUUUAUCCUUAAUCGUUAACAUCGACAUGCGUUAAUUUCCCUUUUACAUGGUUUCAACUAUUAAUUUUAUAUAGCUUUAGCAGUAUACUAUGUUUUAUGGUCAUAAGUUUAUGAAAUAAGUAACAAUAAUAUUAUAAUGAUUCUAAAAGAUUCAAACCCAACUAACUCGAACAGUUGGAUUUGGAGACAAUAAUGCAAGCUUAUGUCCUUGGCGAGAGACCCUUCCUUGUGUGUGACACUGGCUCUGGAGUUACAGCUAAGUUUUGGCAAGAAAAUUGGACAGGCCUUGAUCCUUUAAUUGAUCUAGCCGGUCCCUUGGGACCUCAGACAGUGGGCCUUCCUUUAAAUUAUGUUGCUAGGGAUGCGAUAAGAGGUAGGGGCUGGGCCUUUGCUAACGGGCCUUCCCCCGAAGUGGGCUGUCAAACCGGGGUGCUAAUUCAGGUACCCACAGUAAGCCCCCCAAGUCUUGCGAAGUGGUUGAGUUCGGGAGACUUAAAUGCGGAACAAUUAAAGAAACUGCGAUUUCCGAAUCUGAUAUGAUUGAUUUGUUUUCACCCGAGGUUGCCUUUUCAGUUUACCGUGCCCCGGUUUUGCCGCUUCGAAAUCCCUAGGUUGUCGGCUAUAAAGACCACGACCUUCUAGCUUCCCUAGGAAAUCAUCACACUACGGCCGCCGAGAUAAUAUAAAGGUAACCUCCUCCUCCUUCGUUUUUUUUUUAGUUUUCUCUAUUUUCUUCCUGCUUUCUCCGGCGAACCGACUCGCUUUCGAAUCCUCCUACUCCAAACCUCGCUUGCCUUGCCAUGUCUCCGCCGAAGCAAACUCCACAAGCCGGAGACACUUCCCUCUCCGGGCAGUUCGGCCCUCAUCCCCGGUCGACUAUCGCCGAGGAGGACCUUUGAUACUAGGAUUUUUCUAUCAAUUACCCUAGAGUACUAUCAUGUCAUUGCAGUAAAAUAGGUAUCAAUCCAAUCAGGUGUGAUGCUAGCAAUCAAGAUAUAUCAGAAAUGAUUAAGUCAAGCAAGCAUAAAUGAUUUUUGGUUUUCAGUGAUCCUAAGCGAACAUGUUAAACAUGCGAUAAAUGUAAAGCUGUAAAACAUAGACUACCAUGAAUAAACUAAAACGUAAUGAUUAUUGAUACUGGCAAGAAAACAAAGCAGACCAAGUAAAUAACAAGAGAAUUAAACAGAAAGCACAAAUGGAUAGAAGAUCCCGAGGAUGAGGAUAUUGAUGUAGGUGGAGUAUGCUAAUCUACUUCGAGUGUUUAUCAAACUGCAAACAUUCUAAUCCCUAGACAAUGAACUUCUAAUACUAGUCAAUCCAAUCUCUUGGCAGAAACUAUCAAGUUUACAACACUUCCUAAUCUCAAUUCUCAUUGAUGAAACAUGCAUUAAACAGGCAUAAAGAAACAGCUCAUUAAUGUCAAUAAACAUCUUAGACAACCAAUCUCUUGGGCUAAGCAUGUAAAUCUCUGGCACUAGUUGGUUUAGACAUUUCAUCAUAUACCUUUCGGGUAUGAAAUGUCUAUGACCUAGUUCUAAUUGAUCAGAGAAGAACUAGCUAAUAAAACUCUAGUCCAGAAGGGAAACAAAACGAAUCUAACAUAAACACUCUAGCAAACUAACAUCCUCCACCUAAUCUAUCCCAUCCUCAAGAACCCUAACACUACUCAGACGCAGAAAUCAUGUUAAACAUCAUGAAACAAGAAUCGUUCAAAACAUGCAUAAUAAUAAAGAUGACAGGAAGAGUAACAACAAUGAUUUCAGAACUAGUUGCAAAAUCUCAUUAACUCAAAAGAAAUAUGAAUUACAAUUUUCUGGAUUGUUUGGUGGCUAACAACAAAAACCUAAUAAAAUAAAAACUCCAUCCGUUGGGCAAUCCAAAUGAAGCCUAUUUAUAACAAUGUUUGGGAAAACCCUAAAACAUAAAACGACAACGUAAAAGCGGUUCAAAGGUUGUUUUGACUAAGUUGGUCGAGUGAGCAUCUCGAGUGACCAUCUUCUCUGCUUUGCUCGAUCGUGUCACACGAGUGUGCACAUCGAGUGACCGGUGAAACCAUCAGCUACUUCUUUGCUUUGCUCGAUCAUGUCACUCGAGUGAGUGCAUCGAGUGGCAGGUGGUUCUGCUUCGCUUCCCUUCUCCUCGAUCUGCUACUCACUCAAUCGUCGAUGUAACCGCAAUGCAUCCUUGCUUCUCACUCGAUCGUCCCACUCGAUCGUGUGCAUGUCGAGUAACACUUGUUCCUCUGCUUCGCUCUGCAUGUCUCCUAAGUACCUGAAACACUUCAAAUAUGCACAAUGUAUGCAAGAUAUGCAUGAUAAGCAUAAAACCUACCUAAAUAUGUAAAACAUGCAGAAAGCGAUCAAUAUGAUGCGAAUCAACAAGUGAAUGAUGCUGAAAAGAUGAUGAAUGCAUGCUCAAAAAGCGAUGAAAUACAGACUUAUCAACUCCUCCAAACUUAGUCUUUGCUUGCCCUCAAGCAAAGCAAAAAGAAACAAAGUGGAAGAGAGGUUUGAAAACGGGGUCUCAGAACCUAUAACUUGCAAGAUAGAGCAGUUAAAAUCAAUGUCCUGGUUGCUAAGUAUUUGAUGCAUGCUGAGAGAACUUAACGACUUUAGACAAACUCAUCAAAUCCGGAACUGAUUCUAUCCCUUGAUCUACACAUGCAUUCAAAUCAUUCAUUCCUUUUAACAUUCAUUACCCAAGUAUAUGAACCUGGUUGUGCAAGGCUUAACAAACUCACUUGGCUAGGCAGAAAAAGGUUUUGAGAAUCAUGAGGGUUUAAACAAUUUCAGGACAAGGAUCUCUCAAUGAAUGGAAUGAGCUUUAGGGAGAAUGCUAAAUGUAAAGACCAACAGAUACAUACAGGAAUAAAACCUUGACUACCGAAUGAUUCCCAAGUGCUUACUCCUAAUCAUCUAAACCCGGAUGAUCCCUAUGUCUACCCUUCAACAUCAAUCCCAUUUUUUUUCUUUUUGCCUUAGGAGAAGUUUCUUAUCAAUACUAGUGGAUAGGGGAUUUCUUCUUAACUAUGGUUCUGUUUUCUUCUUACGUUAUAAGACAUCAAAACUUUUUAUCUUUCUUAACAUCCCAGAACCAUUCUCUGUAUAUCAUGCUAACCCCACAAAAAUCAAUCACUAGAGUAUUUACUUCCAGAAAACAUUCUCCUCCUAAGGACACAACUUUUUCUGUUUCUCUUCUUUCUUUCCACAAUCAUUCCAAUCCCAAACCCAAGUAAGAAUCCCGACCUAGUCCUAUCUGAUUUGAAACUGAAAAUCAGAACUAAUCAAGAUUUUAAUCCUGUCGGCUCAUACCUAACACGUUCUCCCCAAGCAUAAUCCGGUAAAAGACCUACCACUCAAAAAUUAUUAAUUGGCUUGAAAGAAAAGGAUAGGCUGUGGGUGUGGCAAACUGAUCAAAAGAAAGAUCAGCUACUUGGAUCAACAAGAGUGGUGAAAGGAGGAAGAUGAUCCAAAUAUGUAUAUGGUGACUAUGAGCAUGCAAGCAAAACACAACCAGAUAUUUGCAAGUCAAGAUUAAGUUCUUAUAGGGUAAAGAAUGAGACCAUAUCACAACAUGUUUCAACCAAGUUCAAGAAUGCUCUUCAUGAAUUCCAAGUUUGUUUCAGACUUACUUCAAGUUCAAUCAUCAAGCAUCAAAAAGCUAACAACCAGGGCAUUGAUCUCAACUAGUGAAUCAUAGCAAAUCAACAAGGUGUAACUCAUCAUCGACCCCUAUGCUAAUGCAACAGUCCUACAUGAAACAAUCUAGACUCAAUCCUAAUAUGCAAAUGCAAGCUACAUGAUCACUCUGUUUUUAAAGAUUUUUUCUGAAAAUUUUUCAAAUUUUUAGGGGUUUUCAAUGCACAUAUAUGAAUGCAAAUUAUAUGCUAAAAAU